GUGAAUUAAACAUGCUUGGUGUCUUUGCUUCGGCAAGGCCCUUGCUUAAAUCACAUCCUAACACCUGUGAACUGUAAGACGUAUGAUGAGGUCUUUGGCCAAGUCAUCGUCUGCCCAUUUUUAACAAACAAUUAAUGUAACAAACGUAGUCUUAUUAUAACCUAAUA
rnacentral:misc_RNA from 1 species